UAUUGACUGUGAUUAUCACUUUUAUAAAUCCUAAAUUUAGUGCACUAUUCUGCCAAGUCAAU
rnacentral:tRNA from 1 species